AAUAAAAAUAUACUAUAAAAUUAAAAGAUAAGGCAACAAAUUAAAAUCUAAGAUUAUAUUAUAUAUUGUGUAAGAUUAUAAGAUUUUCUCUAGUUGAUAGAGUCCAGCAUGUUCGGUUGUGAUGUUUGUAAGGGUCAAAGAUCCAGUUUGAUUGUCCAGCUUCUGUCUUUCUUAUAUAAUAAUAUAUAUAAAAAAGAUAGAUUUUGAUGUAUUAUCUUUUAAUUGAAACUGUCCCAUGACAUGUGAUUCAUCUUAAUUUGUCCACACACAUUUAUUACAAAUCUUAUGUUCACAUUUCUUACAACACUAUCGAGGGUUUUCAUGGCUUCUCUUUCAGUCUUUCAGUCAGUAAGAGGUAGUGAUUUCUUGGGAAGUCAGUUGCUGCUUUUGACACUUGUGUGGUGCUGUAACCUGUUUCAUCAAACCCUGUCAGUGAAGAUCCACGAUGGAUAAUCAUCCACAUGGGCCUUUGGUGGUUGGACUCAGAUGAUUGUUGCUUGCAACAGACCGUUCUUCAUUUUAUACUAGCACUUUAUAUAUUCCAGGCACAGAAGCACAGUGUUUGUGGAGCAGGUUUAUCUGCUGUUGUCUCUUGAAGGUUGAGAUGGUCUCAGCAGAUCAAAUGGACGUUGAAUGUUUGAAUGUUUCUGGAGUGAAGCUUCUGAAAGAAACUAAUUGUGAUGGAACCACUAGGUGGCGGUAUUCACUGUAGUGACUUUUGACAUGGAAAGGUUUUUCUUUCUACUUGUAUUUACAGUCUGCUUGUAGCAUUCUUGAUCAUCUCAAAUUAUACAGCAAAUGCUUUGUGAUUAUUAGUAUAAUGCAAAAAAAUCUGUUUAAAUGUGACUUUAAAUGUUGUAAAAAAAAAUACUGUUAAAAUGAUUUGUCUGUUAUUUAUACAUCUGAACUAAAACUUUGAAACUUU